rnacentral:lncRNA from 1 species
GUGGUGAGUAUGGGGGAGGGGAACCACUCUACAGGCUUAAGAUUAGGUCUCACUCUUUUAGUGUGCCUGUGCCUCUGGACUGUAGACUUCUCAAAUGAAUCUUAGUUUUUUCUCCUCUCUUAGGUUGGGGAAGAUGGCUAGCAUGGGCUGGAGUUGGGUAUUUCUCUUUUCCCACGUGGAAGGUUAUUGAUGACUAGAGUUGGGUAUUUCCCUUCCCUCAGGUCAUUUAGGCUCUGAUAAUACUCCAGCAGGUUAGGCUCUGGUUAACUAGUUUCUCCUGAGCACAGGCCUUGUUAAGAAGAACAGAAGCACCUCUCUUGUGCUUCCAUCCCGAUUCAGGGUCUCAGCCUAUGCGUCCCAGCACACCAGAGUGCACUGGUGUAAACCAAAAUGGUUUCUCUUCCCCUUCUCCUGCCAGAAGCAUGAGGGGAUGUUUUUCCAAUAUUUACUGUGGAAACCUAGUCAAGCUCCUGGAAGUAAAACCCACAAUUGGUGGAGGCCCUUCUAUGACUGGGUCCCCACGGAGUUUUUAACUCCCGGAGUUAUUCACUCUGAGCCUCCAGGAAUCCAUCAAUUACAGUUCUGGUUUUUCUACCCUGGUGUUGGUUCCCAGGGCAGUUUCUGCUCAUUUGUCUCUGCUGUGGCCUAGAGCAGGGCCUGGCCCUGGGCAGGUGCUUGAUGUCUAUGAAGUAGAUUGGCUGUGUAAGCACACAGCAAGAAGCAUGGAAGAGGAUUCAAGGGUUCCUAACUGGCAGACAAAGGAGUUGUAGAACCGAUGAAAAGAAACAGCUUAGCGAGAGGAGCUUCCUGGAGAGAAUGCUAUGAGAUUUUGAACUUACUGCAGUGAUGGAAGGACAGACGAGUAGAGACGUCCAUUAGGGAGCUGCAAAGAGAAAACUGGCACAAAGUUCUUUUAGGACUAAAAUACAGACCUGCAAGUCUUUCUGAUGGAAGUGAUAACUGAAGCUAUGCAAGUGAAUCAGCUCACCGAGGAAAACAGAACGCAGAGAAGAGAGGGGAAAAAAAAGGACAGCAUCUUGGAGCAUAAAGACAGGAGCCAGUGCAGAGCUCGAAAAGUAAUUCAGAAGGAUCUCUGCAGCAACACUGAAGUCACAGGACUUGCUCCUGUUUGUGUCCCUGAGUAGGUGUCUGUGAUAACUGCUAUGUAAAACAGUA